GUCCUACGGGGGGCAGCAGUGAGGAAUAUUGGUCAAUGGGCGGAAGCCUGAACCAGCCAAGUCGCGUGAGGGAAGAAGGCCCUGCGGGUCGCAGACCUCUUUGGACGGGGAGCAAGGCCGCCGACGUGUCGGCGGAAGGAGAGUACCCGGAGAAAAAGCAUCGGCUAACUCCGUGCCAGCAGCCGCGGUAAUACGGAGGAUGCGAGCGUUAUCCGGAUUUAUUGGGUUUAAAGGGUGCGUAGGCGGGCUUUUAAGUCAGCGGUAACAAUUCGGGGCUCAACCCCGUCCGGCCGUUGAAACUGGGG
rnacentral:rRNA from 1 species